rnacentral:rRNA from 1 species
AUUGAACGCUGGCGGCAUGCUUUACACAUGCAAGUCGAACGGCAGCGCGGGGCAACCUGGCGGCGAGUGGCGAACGGGUGAGUAAUAUAUCGGAACGUACCCAGAAGUGGGGGAUAACGUAGCGAAAGUUACGCUAAUACCGCAUACGAUCUACGGAUGAAAGUGGGGGACCUUCGGGCCUCAUGCUUUUGGAGCGGCCGAUAUCUGAUUAGCUAGUUGGUGAGGCAAAGGCUCACCAAGGCGACGAUCAGUAGCUGGUCUGAGAGGACGACCAGCCACACUGGACUGAGACACGGCCCAGACUCCUACGGGAGCAGCAGUGGGGAAUAUUGCGCAAUGGGCGAAAGCCUGACGCAGCGACGCCGCGUGGGUGAUGAAGGCCU